rnacentral:sRNA from 1 species
CGGCCUGCUUGGUUCGGGUCUCUUCGUGUUCUCGCUCACUGCCUUCAAUAAUCUGGAGAAUCUUGUCUUUGGCAAAGGAUUCCAAGCAAAGAUCUUCCCUGAGAGUAAGUGAAUAUUGGAGCUUGAGUAUUUGAACUUUCUCCUCUUUAACCUCCUGAAACAUGAUAUUGAGUUUCCAGAUGCUUAGGUGAAAGGUUGUUAAGGAGAAAUAUAUUUACUGAAGCUGUCUGAAGACAGAUGACGCUUUUCGAUUCUGCACCUUGUAUAGCUCCUGGAGUUGGAGCUGGAAGAGAAGGCCUUUGAAAGCAAGAAACUUUGUUCUCCUGUGCCUCCUGUUGGCUCUCUUUGCAUCUGGCCUCAUCCACCGAGUCUGUGUCACCACCUGCUUCAUCUUCUCCAUGAUUGGUCUGUACUACAUCAACAAGAUCUCCUCCACCCUGUACCAGGCAGCAGCUCCAGUCCUCACACCAGCCAAGGUCACAGGCAAGAGCAAGAAGAGAAACUGACCCUGAAUGUUCAAUAAAGUUGAUUCUUUGUA